GUCUCUAUAGCUCAGUGGUAGAGCAUACGAUUGCAGCCUUGAGCUUCUAUCGUGCGGUCCCGUGUUCGAACCACGGUGGGGACU